GACGAACGCUGGCGGCGUGCCUAAUACAUGCAAGUCGAGCGGAUUGAUGGGAGCUUGCUCCCUGAUAUCAGCGGCGGACGGGUGAGUAACACGUGGGCAACCUGCCUGUAAGACUGGGAUAACUUCGGGAAACCGGAGCUAAUACCGGAUAAUCCUUUUCCUCUCAUGAGGAAAAGCUGAAAGACGGUUUCGGCUGUCACUUACAGAUGGGCCCGCGGCGCAUUAGCUAGUUGGUGAGGUAACGGCUCACCAAGGCGACGAUGCGUAGCCGACCUGAGAGGGUGAUCGGCCACACUGGGACUGAGACACGGCCCAGACUCCUACGGGAGGCAGCAGUAGGGAAUCUUCCGCAAUGGACGAAAGUCUGACGGAGCAACGCCGCGUGAGCGAAGAAGGCCUUCGGGUCGUAAAGCUCUGUUGUUAGGGAAGAACAAGUAUCGGAGUAACUGCCGGUACCUUGACGGUACCUAACCAGAAAGCCACGGCUAACUACGUGCCAGCAGCCGCGGUAAUACGUAGGUGGCAAGCGUUGUCCGGAAUUAUUGGGCGUAAAGCGCGCGCAGGCGGUUCCUUAAGUCUGAUGUGAAAGCCCCCGGCUCAACCGGGGAGGGUCAUUGGAAACUGGGGAACUUGAGUGCAGAAGAGAAGAGCGGAAUUCCACGUGUAGCGGUGAAAUGCGUAGAGAUGUGGAGGAACACCAGUGGCGAAGGCGGCUCUUUGGUCUGUAACUGACGCUGAGGCGCGAAAGCGUGGGGAGCAAACAGGAUUAGAUACCCUGGUAGUCCACGCCGUAAACGAUGAGUGCUAAGUGUUAGAGGGUUUCCGCCCUUUAGUGCUGCAGCAAACGCAUUAAGCAC
rnacentral:rRNA from 1 species